AACGAACGCUGGCGGCAUGCCUAACACAUGCAAGUCGAACGAGACCUUCGGGUCUAGUGGCGCACGGGUGCGUAACGCGUGGGAACCUGCCCUUAGGUUCGGAAUAACUCCCCGAAAGGGGUGCUAAUACCGGAUAAUGUCUUCGGACCAAAGAUUUAUCGCCUUUGGAUGGGCCCGCGUUGGAUUAGCUAGUUGGUAGGGUAAAAGCCUACCAAGGCGACGAUCCAUAGCUGGUCUGAGAGGAUGAUCAGCCACACUGGGACUGAGACACGGCCCAGACUCCUACGGGAGGCAGCAGUGGGGAAUAUUGGACAAUGGGCGAAAGCCUGAUCCAGCAAUGCCGCGUGAGUGAUGAAGGCUUUAGGUUUGUAAAGCUCUUUUACCCGGGAUGAUAAUGACAGUACCGGGAGAAUAAGCCCCGGCUAACUCCGUG
rnacentral:rRNA from 1 species